GGGUAAAGGUAACAGGACCGCUGCUGCUGCUGCUGCUGCGGACAUAAACACACUGACUACAGAUAUUUCUACUGUGCAUUGAUACUGUAAGCAAAGUCGACUCAUCCUGAAGAAGAAAUGGAUAAUCUUUUGUCAAAGGCCCCCCCAGAGACGACCUUCCAGCACCAAGACGCCCUGCCAUCCCUGCCGGUCCCAUCACUGGAGACCAGCCUCUCAAAGUACCUGAAUGCAGUUCGUCCAUUUGCAUCUGAGAAAGAGUUUAAGGCUACGUUGGACAUUGUGAAUACAUUUCAAGAGGGUGUUGGCCAAGAGCUGCACCAAAAGCUACUGCAGAAAGCCAGAACAAACAGGAAUUGGCUGGAAGAAUGGUGGUUAGAUGUUGCGUAUCUGGAGGUUCGCAUCCCAUCUCAGCUGAAUGUGAACUUUGCCGGCCCGGGGCCCUACCUGGAGCACUGCUGGCUCCCCGAAGAGGGAUCUCAGCUGCAGAGGGCUAGUAUUAGCACAUGGCACACACUACAGUACUGGAACCUGAUCCGCACAGAGAGGCUGCGUCCUCAGAAAGCCGGCAAACUACCGUUAGAUAUGGACCAGUUCAGAAUGCUGUUCUGCACCUGCAAAGUACCUGGAGUGAAGAAGGACACCAUCCGUAACUACUUCAAGACAGAGAGUGAGGGGCCGUGCCCUUCCCAUGUGGUGGUGAUGUGUCGUGGACGGAUGUUCACAUUUGAUGCAGUUUGUGAUGGACAAAUCCUCACUCCUCCAGAAAUACUCAGGCAGCUGAGCUAUGUGAAAGAGUGCUGUGAGGGGGAGCCAGAGGGAGACGGAGUGUCGGCCCUCACCUCAGAAGAGAGGACUCGCUGGGCGCAGACCAGGGAGCAUCUAAUAAGCAUCGAUCCACACAAUAGCAACAUCCUGGAGACCAUCCAGAGCAGCCUGUUCGUCUUAUCUCUGGAUGAAACAAAACCCUACUCCUCUCCAGUGAACUACACAAAUAUAACCAGGGCGGCCCUUACAGGCGACCCCACAAUCCGCUGGGGCGACAAAUCGUACAACUCACUCAGCUUCGCAGAUGGAACUUUUGGAACCACUUGUGAUCAUGCACCUUUUGAUGCCAUGGUGCUGGUGUCUUUGUGUUGGUAUAUGGACCAGCAAAUCAAAGCUACAGAAGGCAAAUGGAAGGGAUCAGAGGCAGUCAGAGCCGUGCACCGUCCUGAGGAGCUGAUAUUUACUGUGGACGAAAAAGUCCGGAGUGACAUCCGCCACGCCAAACAGCAGUACCUGGAGACGGCACAGGACCUGCAGAUUGUCUGUUACGCCUUCACAGCGUUUGGAAAAGAUGCCAUCAAACAGAAGAAGCUGCACCCAGACACUUUUGUACAACUAGCAAAGCAGUUGGCCUUCCAGCGAAUGCACAAAAGGCCGGGCAGUUGUUAUGAGACCGCAAUGACUCGCAAGUUCUACCACGGCCGGACGGAGACGAUGCGUCCCUGCACCCAGGAGGCUGUCAGCUGGUGUAACGCCAUGAUGGACCCCUCGUGUGAUGCUGGUAGCAGGAGGAAAGCCAUGCUGGCAGCCUUCAAUACGCACAACAACCUGAUGGUUGAAGCCCAGGAUGGACAAGGUUUUGAUAGGCAUCUUCUUGGGCUGUAUCUUAUCGCCAGAGAGGAGGGACUUCCCACUCCAGACCUCUUCAUGGAUCCCCUUUACUCAUUGAGCGGUGGAGGUGGUAACUUCGUGCUGUCGUCCAGCCUGGUGGGCUACACCACAGUUCUGGGGGCCGUGGCUCCCAUGGUGCACCACGGCUACGGCUUUUUCUAUCGCAUCAGAGACGACAGGAUCGUGGUCUCUGUCUCGGCGUGGAACUCUUGCCGUGAGACAGACGCUGCGACUCUGUUCAACAACUUCUCCAGCUCCAUGCAUGAGAUGCUCCACCUGGCCACCACAUCUCAGCUAUAAGUAACACUUUAUUGCCCUCAUGGUUCACUGGUAAUAGCCGACAGCUAGCGAUAGUCAUGUUUGUUCAGAGCACAGAUCAAUGCAAAGUUACUGAAUCUGAUCUGCUGAUAGCCACUGGUUUGGGCAUUAAAUCAAAUCUUAUCAGCUUUUCUGGUUCAUGUACUGAUUUAUAAUUUUUAGUGUAAAUCUUUAUGAUUCUUGUGUAAAUUUUUUGGAGAAUGUUUCAUUUUAAAUUCUGACAGUAUUAAUCCCUUUUUAAGAUAAGCCAAUGCUAUGGCUCAAGACCUUUUUAUGGUGUUGGUUCUUCAGGGGGUAAAUAUUUACCAGACGCUGUGACCCAUGGACAAUUGAAGAAAAUAGCUUCUGUUUCUUUUAGUUGUUGUCCUUUAAUUAUUUUUGCAAUUAUGCAUUCCGAUUUAACUCAUUAAAAAUAACUUUAUAAGUUAAAAAUAAUUGAUUUGUUUUAUGUUAUGGAUUAGUACAAAUCUAGAGAAUAGCACAUAACUUUAAAAGUUGGACUGAAAUUAUUUUUGUAGAAGAAAUCUGUUAAUAUGGUUUUACUGUUUGUUUUUAUGUUUGCCUACAAUCAAAAUCGUGAUAGGAAUUACAGUGUUGAUAGUUAUAGUGGACAACACAGGUAUCGGUAAGCUGUUAGCUGCAUUCACCCUAUAUACUGUAGGAAAGACGGCUAACACUACCAAGCUAUGAUGGAAGUAACGUACCAUUUAGCUAGCUUCCACUUUUUAAUCAAACCAUCAAAUUUCAGUUUGACUUUUGGGAACUAAGAGUGGCCUUCAGAUCUAUUGAUGUUGAAAAGUUUUGGUUUGCUUAUGGUUGCCUUACUUGCUUGGUCACCGCACCAUAAAAAGCCUACACACUAUGCAGCUUUCCUUUAUCUGUACGUCACGCUCGAGAUUGUUAAAUGUUAAUACGAAUGUAUAUUAGGAUUGCUGCUGUAAAACGUGAAUGAGCCCAAAAAACUGUGAUUUCCAUCCACUCAUUUCCUCUGCAUUUAAAAACAAAUCUGUCUGUGUGGACAAAGGUUUUGGAAAAAAUGUGAAUAAGAUUGUACUUCAUUUAAACAUACAAUGAACACUAGCUUAAUAAUUAACAUUUUUAAUACUUUUGUUUUAUUAUUCAAAAUGAUAAAUGUAUUUGAUCUUGGAAAUGUUGCGAACUCUAAUCUGAUGUUAAAGUAAGUGGAUGAUUCAAUUACUGAAUACAAAACUUUAAUAGUUACAUAAAGGCAAGUUUUACAAGAAGGUUAGUCCUUCCUUGCAUUUGUAGAAACAAUAGGAUUCCUUGUGAUUGCAACCAAAGUGUGACAAUAAAAAAUUAAACUCUGAACAGCCCUGUGUGUACGAUAUUUUUUAUUUUAGGCACUUCUAUUCCAUUAUUAACACUGACUGUAACAAAAAGAUACUCUUCAUCAUGAAAAUCAAGUAAUUAUAAAA